rnacentral:rRNA from 1 species
AUGAACGCUGGCGGCGUGCCUAAUACAUGCCAGUCGAGCGAACAGACGAGGAGCUUGCUCCUCUGACGUUAGCGGCGGACGGGUGAGUAACACGUGGAUAACCUACCUAUAAGACUGGGAUAACUUCGGGAAACCGGAGCUAAUGCCGGAUAAUAUAUUGAACCGCAUGGUUCAAUAGUGAAAGACGGUUUUGCUGUCACUUAUAGAUGGAUCCGCGCCGCAUUAGCUAGUUGGUAAGGUAACGGCUUACCAAGGCAACGAUGCGUAGCCGACCUGAGAGGGUGAUCGGCCACACUGGAACUGAGACACGGUCCAGACUCCUACGGGAGGCAGCAGUAGGGAAUCUUCCGCAAUGGGCGAAAGCCUGACGGAGCAACGCCGCGUGAGUGAUGAAGGUCUUCGGAUCGUAAAACUCUGUUAUUAGGGAAGAACAAAUGUGUAAGUAACUAUGCACGUCUUGACGGUACCUAAUCAGAAAGCCACGGCUAACUACGUG